UUGCCUUGCCAGACAAAAAUCUGCAGCACAGUCCUGAUUCAGUGUGCAAGCACACGCAGCCUCCCUUGUCUCAUGUUGCCUCUCUGCCAGUACCAACAAAAUAGGUCUUCUUUUUUAACAACUUCAGUGGUCCUCAAUGUGGAUUUCCUGCCCAUAUGGGGCACCCUGAGCACCUGAGUCACAGGAGUAGCAGAGCCAGUUUUUGCUCCUUGGAUCUUUGACCAAUCCAUUGUGGAUUGUGGCUGCCAAGAAUAGAUGUCACAGACGCAUGAUCAUCGGAGCCUCCUUAUUCUUGGAACCUGGGGUCAAGGAGUGGAAUCUUCCUGAGAUGUGCCCCCUCCCUGAGACUCUAAUCCCUUCCCUUUCACCCCUUUCGUUGCUUCCCCUCAAUCCCUUUCAUCCAUCCACCCGUCUCCCUCAGGUCCUGUCUACCAAUAAAC